GUGGGGGAAAGGUUUUCCAUAUAGACAUUCCUGAAGGAGAUGUCAUGUUCCGGGGUGCUGGGAUUCCGCAGAGCAGGAGUCUCUGGCCAUUUGUAAUCGGGUCGUGAAAGAGUAGAUUCUGGAAAACCAAGACACUGCUUCAAACCAUCAGGUUAGAGUCAUUGAUAAAAGUUUAGCACCUCCGUUCUAAUCGGAAUUAGCGCGCCUGAGAAAACCAGCAUGUAAUUUGGCAAGAUCUGAGGCAAUUACUUAAAAAGAGGAGCAGAUGUAAUUGAGCAUGCGACCCUGUCAUCCUGUCACCGGCAGAGCAGGGCUUCUCUUCUUAAUUUUCUUUACACAAAACUCAUGAAAUGUGGCCGAUUGGUAGGGCUGCAGCAUUCAGUUUGCUUGAUUUCCUUUUUGGUCAUUUCUCAACAUGGACAGCAAACAACCUCAACCACCUCGGAAAAGUUUGACCGUUACUUCGAGUUUCUUCGCAGGAUGGAUGGAAUUUAAAAACCAGUACAGAAGUGUUUAUGUGUCUUCCUUAGCAACGACAGGCAUCAGAAGG
rnacentral:lncRNA from 1 species